GGGGUUGGGGAGAGGAAUCGGCGAUGUAAAACGAGACUUUUUUUUUUUUUGGUGGCGGUGGCGGUUGGGUGUGUUGCAAAAAUGAAGGAUGCGGGACGCAGCUAUCUCUUGGAACCGAACGCAGUGGAUAAACUGAUUGUGCAAGAGAGAAGGAAGAAUGAAGCUUUUUCUUGUGAGACCUGGAUCUUAACACACAUGUGUAUAUGUGCACACAGGGAGCAUUGAAAAAUGAAAUAAACCAGUGUCAGACCCGCGGGGGUUGAUGUAUUCUGACAUAAAUAAUUAACCAUAAAAACAGCGAUCCCCCCUCCCCAAAAGGAUGAUUGGAAAUGGAGAACCGUGGAUUCACAAACAAAAGUAUGUGCUUUUUUUUUUUUUUUUUUUCUAUAAAGGAGAAAGUAAGCCAAGGAGAUAUUUUUGGAAUGAAAAGUUUGGGGCUUUUUUAGGAAAGUAAAGACUUGAUAUGGUGGUGUUUUCUUUUUGAAUUUCCCACAAGAGGAGAGGGAAUUAAUAAUACAUCUGCAAAGAAAUUUCGGAGAAGAAAAGUUGACCGCGGCAGAAUGAGGCAUUGAUUGGGGGAGAGAAGCCAGCAGAGGACAGUUGGAUUUGUGCCUAUGUUGACUAAAAUUGACGGAUAAUUGCAGUUGGAUUUUUCUUCAUCAACCUCGUUUCUCCCCCCACCCCCGCCUUUUUUUUUUUCUUUUUGGUGUCAAGAUCAUGCGUUUUUCCGCUUGUUCUUAACCACCUGGAUAUCCAUCUGGAUGUUGCUGUGAUCAGUCUGAAAUACACUUCCUGUGCUAUGAAAGUUACAAGGAGCAUAACAAAGAAGUUUGACCAUUUUACAUCUCCUGGCCAUAUUUCCACAUUAUUCUUAUACAUGACAUUGAUUCCUGAGAAUCCACCAAAUGGGCAGGUGUGAUGCUGAAGUUUGCAAGAACAAACGUGAAAGAGAAGCCGAAUGCAGUGAGUUUCUCACAAAAUUAAGUUGAUAUGAUUUUAAAACUGACUUUUAUUCUUUUUAAAUUUCUUGUCAUUUUAUUAGGUUCCAAAUGACAUUUUCAAAGGUGAAUGAUUAUGGUAAUAAAUGGUAUUUAAAAAAAAUAUUCUGCUAAUUU
rnacentral:lncRNA from 1 species